rnacentral:lncRNA from 1 species
ACGGCGUGAGCACUGUGUUCACGACGUGAACAGUCUGACUGAGCAUUUCAGAGCCACUUUGCAGAUGACGCAUGCCAUGAGCGAAUCAGGGCAAACUCACGACGUGAACUUCAAUUUUUAGCCUAUAUAUAGAAAUUUAAGCCUUUCGAGUUUGGCUGCUCAUUCCUAACCUCUCCCCUACUUCUACUCUCUGUUAAGCCCCUUUAAACCACCCCAAAGCCCCGGUAACACUCCUGGAACACGACGCAAGACCCGACGCGCCGACGUUCCCGAGACACUACUUAUCUCCAGUCGAAGUACUGCCUGUGUGAAGCCCCGGGUUUUAUACUUAAGCUCUGAAGGGAGUUCUAUACUCCAGAGAUUCCCGAGAAUCCCAAGAUUUCAGCUUUCUCCUGUCGAAGUUAUGCUCGAUUAUCGUCUUUUCAUCUUUGAACCCCCACUUCAAUCAAGUGAGUUUAUACCCCUUUUAUUCACCUUCAAAUACUUUAUAAUGUACUUUUAAUACAUUUCGGGGGAGAAUACAAGUAAACACCCGGUUAAUCCCGAGUGAAAACGUGAAAACUCUUGUUAUACCUUGCAUACACUAGAUUUAUACAAAAUGCAUAGUAUCCAGGGUAGCAAUCCUUGUUAAACCAUUUUAUGCAUUCAAAUAACUUAUGAUUUUAUGCUUCAUCAAACGUUGUGAAAGAGGAUAAACAUUGCAUACAAAACUAUCACUUUAAUACAAACAUAAUUGAGAAUCCGUGAGACGAUUAUAUCUUCAAUGCUACCUUUUUGUUAAAAGGUACUACCUAAAGUCCUGUCUAUUAUACCAAGAGUCUCCCAUUUGGAGAGCAUGUUAAAUGUGUAUAGAGAUGGGUACAUCACAUCCUUCUUCAUGACUCGGAAAAGUAAAGGAUAUACCCUCUCCCAAAACUCAUGAAACUAGAUCAGCUUGAGAUUUCGACAUUUCUACCCUAAAUUGCUAAAACUAAACUUAAAUGCGAUACCUAUUUCAACCCACAAGUAUAAAUACAUCAUAAGGAAUGUAAGUCGGAACAUUAGAAACCGAAAAACAAAGUGAGGAAAUUAUACGUAUAGAAUCCAACUAACAACGAUCCUAGUUAUCUAACCAACUCGUUUCACAUCAUGUAACAGAAUCAUGUCUUCACCAGGAAGUAAUCAACCAACAACCGACACACCACUUCUGCAUAUAGACUUAGUUACUCUUCACGCUGUAGUCAAAAUCGUUGUAUCAGCCAUCAUGGCUUAUAUCAAUGCAAGUAAUGCUAGUAAAAAUGGGAAUGGUGUCAACAAUUCAAAUCUAUGCAAAUCAAGGAAACCAACAAGUGCCAACUCAUAAGAAUACUCCAACCUACAAACCUCAUAACAGGAAACAAAAGUCCUGGAAUAGGAAAGAGAACAGUUUGAAUCAAGGGCCUCCUAAAAGACAACACAUAGUGACAGCUCACACUGUUACUAUUCCUACCACCCCAACACCCCUAAGGUCAUACAACGAAAACCAGCCUAAGUGCAACCGAUGCAACUUUCAUCAUCACGGACCUUGCCCUGAAAUGUAUUGUGCUAGGUGCAACAACAAGGGGCACACCGUCCGCUACUGUAGAGGACCAGUCCAACCACCCGCUUUGACCACGAAUGUCGGUGUUGGCCAUACUUGCUGUGAGUGUGGAGCAAUGGGGAACUUCUAAAGGGAUUGUCCAAAAGCAAUCAACAUAAAUUAUGGUAGGAGAGGUCGACUAUUCGCAAUGGGCCAAGAGGAAGCCGUUGCAGAUCCCACUGUUGUUACGGGUAUGUUUCCCCUCGAUAACUCCUAUACAUGCAUUUUGGUUAUUAGUGGAGCGGAGAUGAGUUUCGUAAUCCAUAGAUUUAAAAAUCUACUCAAUCAAACAACCCAAUCAUUAAGCUAAACCUUCAUAGUAGUAAUAACAAUAGACUGAAAGCACUGAAAACAAAUAAGUAGAAUGCACUAUCCCGCUAACAAACACUUUUACUGAUCGACUUCACUAUUAAUACAAUAAGAAGUACCCAAAUAGCUACUAGAAAUGGAUUGGCUUGGUCUUCACAAAACCAAUUGCAUGUGAUAUGAAAAGACCCUUUCCUUUUGCCGUUGACUAACAAAAACAUUUCGAUCUAUAUCGACAAACCUAACAUAAUUUCCAAAAUCAUAGUUAGGUUUCAAAACCCCGAGGCACUCAUGUGAGGAGUACUAUAUCUUUACAACCUUCCCGUAGUAAUCCCCAACAUAUCAUUUAGAGAUACCACACGUACAACGAGUCAACUUCAAAUAUAGAAACUAAGAGUGAAUUCAACCAUGAAAUUCAAAACGAAGCUGCCCUACGCAUCGAGUGAAUAUGCUAACAUUUAGAAGAACAUAAGAUAAUAAACCCAAAACCACACGAUCCCUAUCAGUUGAAGCGAUGGACGGAAUAAUGAAGAUCCGUCGAAACAGCCACACUAAGAGUUGGAUUAAGUAGAGAAGAAUAAGAUUCAAAUGGAAUAGAAGUACGCUCACCUUUCCAACCAUCGAUGUCCCAUUCAAAUGCGAAUUUCGGGAUGGAAUUCUCUCUAACGGGGGGAUAAUUUAACACCAGCAAAAUUAGGGUCAAAAUUGAAGUUUUAUAAAACAAUAAUUGGGAUAUACCAAGUGGUAUAUAUCGUAAAGAGGUUUCCAAAAAAUAUAAAGAACACUAAAAUCCGAGUUAUAAUGAAGAAGUUAUGGCCAAUCGAAGAUCCGCGACAAUACCGGUAAAACACUGUUAAGCAUAAAACGAGAAAUUGCAAUAAAAUACUUUUCAGCAUUAGGUGUCUAAAGGAAAGUUGUAUAUAUCCCAAAACCAUAAACAUACAUAAAAAGAAGGGCCAAAUUUGACUUCAUAUGAGGAAGUUAUGAUUUUUCGAACUUUCGGACAUAGCAGUAGACAGCUAAAAACUCAAAAUCGAGAUCGAGCGACUUUUUGCCAACAUGACCUAAACAAGAAUCGAAGAUCUCAUCGAUGGUAUUUCAAUGGUAAAAAGUCUGAAGAAAACUGACAUCGGAUGAAGAAGUUAGGGAUUUUUAACGAACUUUUCCUGUCUCGGCCUGUUAAAAAUAUAAUAUUAAAAAUAAAGUUAAAAUUUGCCGACGGAGUCUAAACGAGAGUUGUAGAGCCUUUGCUUAGCUACGUGUGGAUAUAAAGAACGUUGAAAAAAGAGCUCGUAUAAGAAAGGUAUGAUUUUUUGAAGUUCGGGACACGAAUUUCGAUGCUGUGUCAGAAUUUUCAGUGUUCACGUUGUGAGCACUGUGUUCACGACGUGAACAGUCUGACUGAGCAUUUCAGAGCCACUUUGCAGAUGACGCAUGCCAUGAGCGAAUCAGGGCAAACUCACGACGUGAACUUCGAUUUUUAGCCUAUAUAUAGAAAUUUAAGCCUUUCGAGUUUGGCUGCUCAUUCCUAACCUCUCUCCUACUUCUACUCUCUGUUAAGCCCCUUUAAACAACCCCGAAGCCCCGGUAACACUCCUGGAACACGACGCAAGGCCCGACGCGCCGAAGUUCCCGAGACACUACUUAUCUCCAGUCGAAGUACUGCCUGUGUGAAGCCCCGGGUUUUAUAUUGAAGCUCUGAAGGAAGUUCUAUACUCCAGAGAUUCCCGAGAAUCCCAAGAUUUCAGCUUUCUCCUGUCGAAGUUAUGCUCGAUUAUCGUCUUUUCAUCUUUGAAGCCCCACUUCAAUCAAGUGAGUUCAUACCCCUUUUAUUCACCUUCAAAUACUUUAUAAUGUACUUUUAAUACAUUUCGGGGGAGAAUAAAAGUAAACACCCGGUUAAUCCCGAGUGAAAACGUGAAAACUCUUGUUAUACCUUGCAUGCACUAGAUUUAUACAAAAUGCAUAGUAUCCAGGGUAGC